GGCGUGGCGCAAUUGGUAGCGCAACGGUCUCCAAAACCGUAGGUUGCAGGUUCGAGUCCUGU
rnacentral:tRNA from 1 species